UACGUAGGGUGCGAGCGUUGUCCGGAAUUACUGGGCGUAAAGAGCUUGUAGGUGGUUUGUCGCGUUGUUCGUGAAAUCUCACGGCUUAACUGUGAGCGUGCGGGCGAUACGGUCAGACUAGAGUACUGCAGGGGAGACUGGAAUUCCUGGUGUAGCGGUGGAAUGCGCAGAUAUCAGGAGGAACACCGGUGGCGAAGGCGGGUCUCUGGGCAGUAACUGACGCUGAGAAGCGAAAGCGUGGGGAGCGAACAGG
rnacentral:rRNA from 1 species